rnacentral:rRNA from 1 species
GAUGAACGCUGGCGGCGUGCCUAAUACAUGCAAGUCGAGCGAACGGACGAGAAGCUUGCUUCUCUGAUGUUAGCGGCGGACGGGUGAGUAACACGUGGAUAACCUACCUAUAAGACUGGGAUAACUUCGGGAAACGGAGCCAAUACCGGAUAAUAUUUUUGAACGGCAGGUUUCAAAGUGAAAAAAGGUCUUGCUUGUAACUAUUAGUGGAUCCGCGCUGCAUUAGCUAGUUGGUAAGGUAACGGCUUACCAAGGCAACGAUGCAUAGCCGACCUGAGAGGGUGAUCGGCCACACUGGAACUGAGACACGGUCCAGACUCCUACGGGAGGCAGCAGUAGGGAAUCUUCCGCAAUGGGCGAAAGCCUGACGGAGCAACGCCGCGUGAAUGAUGAAGGUCUUCGGAUCGUAAAACUCUGUUAUUAGGGAAGAACAUAUGUGUAAGUAACUGUGCACAUCUUGACGGUACCUAAUCAGAAAGCCACGGCUAACUACGUG